UCCGUCAGCGGGGAGUCGAACCUGGGUCAACUGUUUGUGAAAUAGCUAUUCUGACCGUUGAACUACCGACGC
rnacentral:tRNA from 1 species